AGUAACUUUAGAAUACACAUACUUUUUGCCCACCUAUUCUAAGGUUUGUUUAAACAGUCUUAUGCCAUAGAUUAGACACAAUACUAUAUAGUUCUUGAAUGUUUGCCAACACCGUCAGAAUAAAACAGUAAAAAAUCCCCUACAAAUAUCUUACAAGAAACCUGUUUUUAAUUGGAUUGUGUUGAUAAAGAUUACUGGAAUGCAUUUUUAGUUUUUGUAUUUAAUUCAUUUGAAUUAAUCAACUCCCACACUUGACAAGGAUUAACAUUGUAAAGAAUAAAUACUGAAGUAGAUUUUUAGUAAUUCAUUCACAUUUAAGGCCUUUUAAAAUGUAAUGAUAGCCUUUUGCUUUUCAUAAGCAUAUCUUUACCCCUACAUUAAUUACAGCAUUAUGUCUAAGUAACUUUUAAUCUAGGAAACUGAAAAAUAUAAGUGCUAAAGUAAAAUAUUUCCUUGAAAAUACUAUUUAACACAUCAGUAGACUAUAGAUAGUUUCUAGGUUGUUGGACCUACGUGAAAGUUGGGUUUGGGAGCUGCUGCUCUGGUGGCAUUGAGCACGUAGUUCUGAUUAUGAAAGUUCUUUGCCACCUGCGAGUGACUCACAAGUGUCACAGCUCUCCUGUGCUAGUCAGAACAGUAAUCAAGUUAGUCUUUAAACCUAGACUCUUCAAUACCUUUGGAUUAACUCGAUUUAAAAUAACAAGAGGUUUUUAAAAAAAAAAACAAAAAAAACUUACAAACUAUCUUGGAAAAUGAGUUCUCUUUUAGAGUUUUUCUAAUUGAAAGAUUAUUUCUAGAUGAAUGUAUGCUUUGUGCUGAUCUCUGCUUCAAUAUAUUUAUCAGUCAUUUUAUUUAGAGAAGAUACUGUAUAGUAUCAAUAGAACUAAGGCCUUUUCUUUCUGGGCCAGAUUUUCACCUUAUAUAACCCUUUAUAUACUUCUGACUACUCUGUGUUCAUUAUUGUAGCAGAGUAGGCGUAUACUGUAGAAGGUUUUGGAAACCUAACAGAAAUUGACCCUGUCUAAUCCAGCAUGGUGGUUUCCUGUUGGGUCAAAGCAGAAAACUGAAGAAUUAGGUCAAUUUGACUUUCUGGACAGCUGAACUUCUCAACUCUAAUUUUAAAAACUACACUACACUGAUACAGCUAAUCAGACAAAAGGUCCUCGCGUAUUUUAUUUAAUUUAAAUCAUCUGUUUAAUUCUGUCUUUAAUAAUUUUGCAAAGAAGGGUAUGUGUGUAUUUUAAUAUAGCCUGACCUGAAUUUAUAUGUUUUUAGUUUUAGUAUUUAACACUUUUGUAACAAAUAAACCUUUUUUUAAAACAAGCUUCACACAGUGUCAUGUAGUUAUUUUCACUUUGGAUGUGAAUUGCUGAAGUAAACUUGGGAAUCCUGCCUUGUAUUUCUCAAGCAUAAUUG
rnacentral:lncRNA from 1 species